rnacentral:rRNA from 1 species
CCUACGGGAGGCAGCAGUGAGGAAUAUUGGUCAAUGGACGAGAGUCUGAACCAGCCAAGUAGCGUGAAGGAUGACUGCCCUAUGGGUUGUAAACUUCUUUUAUAUGGGAAUAAAAUGUUCCACGUGGGGGAUUUUGUAUGUACCAUAUGAAUAAGGCUCGGCUAACUCCGUGCCAGCAGCCGCGGUAAUACGGAGGAUCAGAGCGUUAUCCGGAUUUAUUGGGUUUAAAGGGUGCGGACGCGUAUUGUUAGGUCAGCGGUAAAAGGUGCGGGCUAAACCCGGGCCGGCCGUUGAAACUGGGGAUCUUGAGUGGGGGAGAAGUAAGCGGAAUGCGUGGUGUAGCGGUGAAAUGCGUAGAUAUCACGCAGAACUCCGAUUGCGAAGGCAGCUUACCGGCGCCCGACUGACGCUGAGGCACGAAAGCGUGGGGAUCGAACAGGAUUAGAUACCCUGGUAGUC